UGUUACUUCUUUUGAUGAUAAUACUAUUAGGCCACGUGUGGGCACAGCACCCUGAGACGGGCCACAACAUUUUGUUUUUGCAACCCGAUUUAGUGAAAUUGUUUCGUGGAACGAAUUUAAUGACCAGGGUCAUUAGGAAUUUCGAGAAUACUGAGAAAAAGUUAGCGCAGGUGGCUGUGAAAAACUUCACUUAGGCCUCUAAUCCACUUAUCACUUACUGGGGAUUAAGGGAAAGUUAGGGUUGGUGGUUGAAAUUCCGUGGUUUAAUCCUCUUGUUAUUUAUUUAGAAAAGUGUUUGAAUAAUUUAACAAAUGUGAGAGGUGUAACUUGUCGUUUGAUUUUCGAAUCGAUAUGAAACGAAUAACGAUUGUUGAAUAAAUUAUGUAAGAAGGCUGGUAAUUACGCCGGUAUUUACCUUUUUGAUUGUGAGAAUUGUUGUAAUUUAAAUAAAAUUUUACGAAUUA